rnacentral:rRNA from 1 species
UGGAGCAUGUGGUUAAUUCGAUGCAACGCGAAAACCUUACCACCUUUGACAUGUACGGAAUCCUUUAGAGAUAGAGGAGUGCUCGAAAGAGAGCCGUAACACAGGUGCUGCAUGGCUGUCGUCAGCUCGUGUCGUGAGAUGUUGGGUUAAGUCCCGCAACGAGCGCAACCCUUGUCAUUAGUUGCUACAUUCAGUUGGGCACUCUAAUGAGACUGCCGGUGACAAACCGGAGGAAGGUGGGGAUGACGUCAAGUCCUCAUGGCCCUUAUAGGUGGGGCUACACACGUCAUACAAUGGAUGGUACAAAGGGUCGCCAACCCGCGAGGGGGAGCCAAUCCCAUAAAGCCAUUCGUAGUCCGGAUCGCAGUCUGCAACUCGACUGCGUGAAGUCGGAAUCGCUAGUAAUCGUGGAUCAGAAUGUCACGGUGAAUACGUUCCCGGGUCUU